rnacentral:rRNA from 1 species
AGGGGAGUUUGAUCAUGGGCUCAGGACGAACGCUGGCGGCGUGCUUAACACAUGCAAGUCGAACGGUGAUCCAGGGCUUGCUCUGGUGAUCAGUGGCGAACGGGUGAGUAACACGUGAGUAACCUGCCCCUGACUCUGGGAUAACUGCUGGAAACGGUGGCUAAUACCGGAUAUGAAGCCUCCUCGCAUGGGGGGGUUUGGAAAGAUUUUUCGGUUGGGGAUGGACUCGCGGCCUAUCAGCUUGUUGGUGGGGUGAUGGCCUACCAAGGCGACGACGGGUAGCCGGCCUGAGAGGGCGACCGGCCACACUGGGACUGAGACACGGCCCAGACUCCUACGGGAGGCAGCAGUGGGGAAUAUUGCACAAUGGGCGCAAGCCUGAUGCAGCGACGCCGCUUGAGGGAUGGAGGCCUUCGGGUUGUAAACCUCUUUCAGCAGGGUAAAAAGCGCAAGUGACGGUACCUGCAUAAGAUUCGCCGGUUACUA